rnacentral:rRNA from 1 species
UGGGGAAUUUUGGACAAUGGGCGAAAGCCUGAUCCAGCAAUGCCGCGUGUGUGAAGAAGGCCUUCGGGUUGUAAAGCACUUUUGUCCGGAAAGAAAUCCUUGGCUCUAAUACAGUCGGGGGAUGACGGUACCGGAAGAAUAAGCACCGGCUAACUACGUGCCAGCAGCCGCGGUAAUACGUAGGGUGCAAGCGUUAAUCGGAAUUACUGGGCGUAAAGCGUGCGCAGGCGGUUUGCUAAGACCGAUGUGAAAUCCCCGGGCUCAACCUGGGAACUGCAUUGGUGACUGGCAGGCUAGAGUAUGGCAGAGGGGGGAUAGAAUUCCACGUGUAGCAGUGAAAUGCGUAGAGAUGUGGAGGAAUACCGAUGGCGAAGGCAGCCCCCUGGGCCAAUACUGACGCUCAUGCACGAAAGCGUGGGGGAGCAAAACAGGAUUAGAUACCCUGGGUAGUCCACGCCCUAAACGAUGUCAACUAGUUGUUGGGGAUUCAUUUCCUUAGUAACGUAGCUAACGCGUGAAGUUGACCGCCU